AGCGAACGCUGGCGGCAGGCCUAACACAUGCAAGUCGAACGAACCCUUCGGGGUUAGUGGCGGACGGGUGAGUAACACGUAGGAACGUGCCUUUAGGUUCGGAAUAACUCAGGGAAACUUGUGCUAAUACCGAAUGUGCCCUUCGGGGGAAAGAUUUAUCGCCUUUAGAGCGGCCCGCGUCUGAUUAGCUAGUUGGUGAGGUAAUGGCUCACCAAGGCUACGAUCAGUAGCUGGUCUGAGAGGAUGACCAGCCACAUUGGGACUGAGACACGGCCCAAACUCCUACGGGGGGCAGCAGUGGGGAAUCUUGCGCAAUGGGCGAAAGCCUGACGCAGCCAUGCCGCGUGGAUGAUGAAGGUCUUAGGAUUGUAAAAUCCUUUCACCGGUGAAGAUAAUGACUGUAGCCGGAGAAGAAGCCCCGGCUAACUUCGUGCCAGCAGCCGCAGUAAUAC
rnacentral:rRNA from 1 species